GGGGCGGUCGCCUCCUAAAGAGUAACGGAGGCGCACUAAGGUAAGUUCAAAUUGUGUUUAUCAAUUGUAGAGCGUAAUAGUAUAUACUUGCUUGACUGUGAGAUUGACAAAUCGAGCAGGGACGAAAGUCGGUUAUAGUGAUCCGGUGGUAUUGUGUGGAAAAGCCAUCGCUCAACGGAUAAAAGGUACGCCGGGGAUAACAGGCUAAUCAUUCCCUAGAGACCUUAUCGACGGGAUGGUUUGGCACCUCGAUGUUGGAUUAUCGCAUCCUGGAGCUGUAAGUGGUUCCAAGGGUUUGGCUGUUCGCCAAGGAAGGCGGUACAUGAUCUGAGUUUAGAACGUCGUGAGACAGUUUGGUCCCUAUCUACCGUGGGUUUUUAAAAAUUUGCAAGGGGUAAACUCUAGUACGAGAGGACUGAGAAAAGCAAAUCUCUGGUGGAUCGAUUGUUACACCCGUAGCAUAGUCGAGUAGCUAUAUUUGUAAUAGAUAAUCACUGAAAGCAUCUAAGUGAGAAACUAGCCUUAAAACAAAUUUUUUUU
rnacentral:rRNA from 1 species